rnacentral:rRNA from 1 species
AUCGAACGCUGGCGGCAUGCCUAACACAUGCAAGUCGAGCGGCGCUGCGGACGGGUGAGUAAGGCCUAGGAAUCUGCCCGUUAGUGGCGGAUAACGUCCGGAAACGGGCGCUAAUACCGCAUACUAUCAGAUGAGCCUAGGGUGGAUCGGCUAGUUGGUGGGGUAAAGGCCUACCAAGGGGACGAUCCGCAACCGGCCCGAGAGGAGGAUCAGUCACACGGGGACGGGGACACGGUCCAGACUCCUACGGGAGGCAGCAGUGGGGAAUAUUGGGCAAGGGGCGAAAGCCUGAGCCAGCCACGCCGCGUGUGUGAAGAAGGUGUUCGGAUUGUAAAGCACUUUUGGUUGGGAGGCGUUACCAACAGAAUAAGCACCGGCUAACUACGUGCCAGCAGCCGCGGUAAUAC